rnacentral:rRNA from 1 species
ACCAGAGUUAUAUCUCCCUGCAGUUCUUGCCUGGUUUCCACUGAAACUAAGCAGGAUUGAGCCUGGCAGGUACCUGGGUGGGAGACCUCUUGGGGAAAACUAAGGUUUCUGCUGGAA